rnacentral:rRNA from 1 species
UUAACACAUGCAAGUCGAACGAUGAAGCCCUUCGGGGUGGAUUAGUGGCGAACGGGUGAGUAACACGUGGGCAAUCUGCCCUGCACUCUGGGACAAGCCCUGGAAACGGGGUCUAAUACCGGAUAUGACAUCCUCCCGCAUGGGAAGGGUGUGGAAAGCUCCGGCGGUGCAGGAUGAGCCCGCGGCCUAUCAGCUUGUUGGUGGGGUGAUGGCCUACCAAGGCGACGACGGGUAGCCGGCCUGAGAGGGCGACCGGCCACACUGGGACUGAGACACGGCCCAGACUCCUACGGGAGGCAGCAGUGGGGAAUAUUGCACAAUGGGCGAAAGCCUGAUGCAGCGACGCCGCGUGAGGGAUGACGGCCUUCGGGUUGUAAACCUCUUUCAGCAGGGAAGAAGCGAAAGUGACGGUACCUGCAGAAGAAGCACCGGCUAAUUACGUGCCAGCAGCCGCGGUAAUACGUAGGGUGCGAGCGUUGUCCGGAAUUAUUGGGCGUAAAGAGCUCGUAGGCGGCCUGUCACGUCGGAUGUGAAAGCCCGGGGCUUAACCCCGGGUCUGCAUUCGAUACGGGCAGGCUAGAGUUCGGUAGGGGAGAUCGGAAUUCCUGGUGUAGCGGUGAAAUGCGCAGAUAUCAGGAGGAACACCGGUGGCGAAGGCGGAUCU